GCAGAGCUGUCCUUUCUGGGUAAGCCCAGACAAACUCUGCCCCACCUUAGUUGUGGUGCAGUCAUUUGUGUUGCAUGUGUUUAAGGCCAAACCUACUGUGAAUCGCAUCCUUAAAAACUGCAUAUAAGUAACAAAACUUGGAAUAUUUAUAUGUGAGGCCAUGGGAGCCUUGUAUUUCUAUCUUUGAGGGGUUAAAAAGGGAACUAUCCCAGAUCUUUUUAAAUGUCUUGUUUUGUACUGAAGGAGUGGGCCAAGCUAUAAACAUGACAGCUAACUUAAAACAUGAUCUCUUUUACAGGUAUUGAAAUUUUGCUAUUAAAUUGACUCUGUCAUUUGGAGAGGAGAAAAUCAAUGGUUUAGCACUGAAGAUUUGUGGGUAUACAAGAAGGAUCUUUCCACAGAAAGUCAUUCUCCCCAGGAAAAAAUUAACUAAAUUCUACUGUAUUGAGGAACUGCAAUGAAAUUUUAUUUCUUUGGAAUUGACAUACAACGAUUGAAGUUCCCAAGAGUAAAACCAGGCAAGAAAUCCUCCAGAGGGAGUUUAGAGGCUGGAAGUCGUCUGCUCCUGUGUUUUUU